UUUAUUUCACACAUUUCUCUCUCGCGUUUUAUUUUUCAUCGAAAGCUCUUUUGGUUUCAACCGAGAGUGAAGAGAAAAACUUUUCUCUUCUUCACCAAAUCUGCAGUUCUAAUCAAACCCCAUCUUCAAUAGAUUUUAGGUUUCAACAAGAAAUCCAUCAUUUAAUCAAAACCCAUCAUCAAGAAAUCUCGAUUUAUAAAUUAUUUCCCUGAAAUCUAAAAAUCAAAUUAUUCAACCUCUGAUAUAAACUAGUUUGUUGGAUUAUCAUCAGGGUUGUUGGCUUUUCUUGUUGUUGCGUAUAAGAACAAAUUUAGAGAUUCAAUGUACUGUCCUUGUCGUGUUUGUCGGUAUUCUCGUGGGUUGAUUUGGUAAUGGGUGGAUUGAUAAGUUGAUUUGGUGCUUCUCGUCGGUUGUUUGGGUCUGGAUCUGUGAUAGAUCUGUAGUUGUUCAGUUCUUGAACACAUUGUCUAUAUUUGGCGGCGGAUGUGAAACCGAGAAUUACUGAAGAGUCUGUAGAGAAACCUAAGAUUUGGAAGCUAACUAAAAUCAACGAGACAUCUCAAUGUCGUUCCUUAUGCCUUCCAGAUAACUUGUUAGCUCUACGGGAGUAUCUCUGAAUCGUAAUAUUGGAGACAUUUCAUUCACCUGCAUGAAAUUGGUUCCUUUCUCUUCAAAAGAAAUUGAUUUACAAGAAUUCAGGAAUUUCCCUAUUAGCAUUAGCAGCUAAUGCGGUUCACAAGUUGUGGAAAUGGCGGAGGAAUUAUCGGAACACAACAGGAAAGGCAACCACCUACGUGCAACCUCAAUUAUGGCAACCCUCUAGUGGAACACUAAUGACCAAUGAGAUCAGUGAUGCAAAGCCUGAAGAUGCUAUUCCUUUCUUUGCAUUUUCAAAGAAUGAUUCUUAUGUUUUGUCGGCGUCAGGAGGAAAAAUAUCACUUUUCAACAUGAUGACAUUUAAGGUCUAUUAAAAUCAUUGUUAUGUAUUGAUUAUUCAUUAUCCUUUGCUCCUCACUUAGAAACUUGGUGCUGAAUUUGUUUUAAGCAACAGACGAUGACGACAUUCAUGCCUCCUCCUCCAGCUGCGACUUUUCUGGCGUAAAGGAGUAAGUAGUACGUAUUAAAAUUGUAGUACAGACCAGUGAAGAUUGUGGUCUAAAAUGUAGUAGUACAAUAGGUACAAGGACAAAAUCGGUAGUUUUUGGUAAUUAGUACUUCGCGCUACUGCGUAUACUACCUCUUCCAGCAAAACGGCUUUCUUCUCUUUUGCGGGGAUUCAGGUUUGCAUCAGCAGCAUAUGUUAGUGGUGGAUUAAUUGGUGUGGAAAAGAUCCUGCUGCAACACUUGGUAUAAAGCUUCUGUUCUUGGCGAUUCUUGUGAAGAAUUCCAAGAAAUAUUUCACAUUUGAGAUUCAAGUGCUGGAUGACAAGAAUGUGAAGAGACGCUUCAGAAAUUACGUUGCAAUCUUUCACUCUACUUGGAUUUGCAGAUCAGCUGAAAUUUCAUACAAUAGUCUGAUGUAUGCAACAAGGUAGCUCAAGUUAGAGUAACAUCUGAAGAGUUUACUUUCUAUGUGGCUGACCUAGCUGUUAGUGCUGAGCUUGAUCUUCUUAUACAUUAUCGUGAUGUUCUAGAUUUUUUUGGACUAGGAAACCUAUUUCAUGAAGCUUAUGAUGCGGUUCAAAUUGAUGCUGAUACUAACUAUCCUGUAGAAAGAGCCAAGGACAAACUCAUGAAGAUAUGUGAUGUAUUUGGACCAAACCUUCCCUUGAACAUUGGGCCUGCAGAACCUUGGCAGAAAAAUCUAAGGAUAGUAACAAUAUUCCUCUGCACGAGAACGGUAAACUCUCCGAGAAAGAUUCAGGUUCAAGUUUGAAUGGCUUUAUCAAUCAGGAAAAACAUAAGAGUAAUCCAUCCAAAAGGCAAAUGGGGUUGUUCACGAGGAUCAUUCCAAGAACACCCAAAAUGGGACUCAUACAUCACACUGAAUGGUCAGAGAGCUGGUGAGGCAGGCAUUUUAUAUGAGCACGGGGCAAAUAUUGAGGCACUGAUGCCAAAACUCCUCCACUCUGACUACUACACGGAGCCUCGAAUUCUAGAAUUAGCUGCCAAGGAGAGGGCAGAGCCAGGGUUCUGCCGCAGGGUAAAGGGCUUUGUAUACAGGUGCAGAGAUUUAAGAUCUCAAAGCAGGGUAUGCUAAAUUUUUCCCAUGAUCUCUUUAGAGAGUAGCUUUUAGCAUUGAAUCAAAGCAGUGAAUGAUUUUUGUAGUUGAUUAACUGCCUCAAACUGCACUCAGCUUGCUCAAUGUUGUUAAGUAUUACAUGCUGAAAUAUAUGAAUUGUUCUUAAACAAUUGUGAUAAUCUAUAAUUUUUCUUGAUCGAUUUGUAAUGAUAAUGAGAAUCCAUCUGAAUGAUAUAUUGGGUC